AAGUGCUUAUAGAUGGUGUUGAUUUGAAGAAGUUGAAGCUUAGCUGGAUAAGACAGAAGAUUGGUCUAGUAAGUCAGGAACCUAUCUUAUUUGCAACUAGCAUAAAAAAGAACAUAGCAUAUGGAAAAGAAAAUGCCACGGAUCAGGAGAUUAGAACUGCAAUUGAACUUGCUAAUGCUUCCAAAUUCAUCAAUCAAAUGCCUGAGGGGCUUGACACAAUGGUAGGAGAGCAUGGCACUCAAUUAUCAGGAGGCCAAAAACAAAGAAUUGCUAUUGCAAGGGCCAUUUUAAAGAAUCCAAAAAUUCUCCUCCUUGAUGAAGCAACAAGUGCAUUAGAUGCUGAGUCUGAACGCAUUGUCCAAAAUGCACUAGAGAAUGUUAUGUGCAACAGGACAACUGUAGUUGUUGCUCAUCGUUUAACCACCAUUAGGAAUGCUGACAUCAUUGCUGUAGUGCAUUUGGGCAAACUUGUGGAGAAAGGAACUCAUGAGGAUUUGAUACAAAACAAGGAUGGAGCAUACUCCCAACUAAUUCGCCUGCAAGGAGGAGCUAAUGAAUCUGAACAUUCUCAACAGCUAGAUCCAGAUGCUUCAGAAAUUAGUUUGGGAUUAGAAAAGUCCUUUUCUGGUUCAGAAAGCCAGAGACAAUCUAUGCUGAGAUCUUUGAGUAGAGUUUCAUCAGGAAGCCGCCAAUCUUUCUCGAUUAACAACUUAGGCUUUGGUUUGCUUGUUGAUAUUAAUAUUGUCGACUCAGAAACGCAUGAGGAGAAGACUAUGCUAGAGAAGAAGCAGCCUAAACAAGUUCCAAUGAGACGGCUUGCCCACCUGAACAAGCCUGAAUUGCCUAUUCUAUUGCUUGGAGCUAUUGCUGCAGCAAUACAUGGGACCGUUUUCCCAGCAUUUGGCGUUUUACUAUCAACAGCCAUUAAAGUGUUCUAUGAGCCUCCAAAUGAGCUGAAAAAAGAUUCCAAGUUCUGGGCAGCGGUAUAUGUGGGGAUUGGUUUCAUUGCUUUAUUAUCUAUAUCAGUGCAGAACUACUUCUUUGGAAUUGCAGGGGGUAAAUUGAUUGAAAGAAUUCGUUCCAUGACAUUUGAAAAGGUCGUACACCAAGAAAUCAGCUGGUUUGAUGAUCCUGCAAAUUCUAGUGGAGCGGUUGGGGCAAGAUUGUCAACGGAUGCUUCAACAGUUAGGAGUCUUGUUGGUGAUGCCUUGGCCUUAGUUGUCCAAAACGCAUCAACAAUCGUAGCAGCACUGGUUAUAGCAUUCACAGCUAACUGGAUUCUGGCAUUUAUAAUUCUUGCAGUAUCACCCUUGCUGCUUGUUCAAGGGUACACUCAGGCAAAGUUUACGAAGGGGUUCAGUGCAGAUGCCAAGCUGAUGUAUGAAGAAGCAAGUCAGGUGGCAAAUGAUGCAGUUGGAAGCAUUAGAACUGUUGCGUCAUUUUGUGCUGAGAAGAAGGUGAUGGACUUGUACCAAGAGAAAUGUAAUGGUCCUGUAAAAAAAGGGGUUCGGCUUGGACUUGUUAGUGGUGCAGGUCUUGGCUUCUCGUUCUUUAUACUCUAUUGCACAAAUGCAUUCUGUUUUUACAUCGGAUCUGUUCUUGUACAACACGGGAAAGCAACAUUUGGAGAAGUUUUCAAAGUAAGAUAUGAAUUGGCCUCUUGGUUUUCUUUUCACAUUUUUUUUCCCUUCCUUCUUUUCAAUCUACCUUCAAGUUUUCUGCAGGUUUUCUUCGCGUUGACAAUUGCAGCAAUUGGGGUUUCCAAUUCCAGUGCCAUGGGUACAGACAGUAGCAAAGCCAAGGAUGCAGCAGCUUCAAUAUUUAACAUUAUUGACAGAAAGCCCAAAAUUGACUCAAGUAGUGAUGAAGGCACUACACUUCCACAUAUAAAAGGUGACAUUGAGCUUGAAAAUGUCAGUUUCAGUUAUCCAAUGAGACCACAUGUUCAAAUUUUCAGAGACUUAUCCCUUAGUAUCCCCUCUGGAAAGACAGUUGCGUUGGUGGGGGAGAGUGGCAGUGGAAAGUCAACAGUAAUUAGCCUCUUAGAGAGAUUUUAUGAUCCUGAUUCUGGUCGUAUAUAUAUAGACAAUGUGGAAAUCAAGAAGUUCAAACUAAGCUGGCUGAGACAACAAAUGGGAUUAGUAGGCCAAGAACCAAUACUCUUCAAUGAAACCAUCCGCACAAAUAUUGCUUACGGCAAGCAGGGAAAUCCUACUGAGGAAGAGAUAAUUGCUGCAACAAAAGCAGCAAAUGCUCACAACUUCAUUAGUAGCUUACAACAGGGGUAUGAUACUGUUGUAGGAGAGCGAGGAAUACAAUUGUCUGGAGGGCAGAAACAAAGGGUAGCCAUUGCUCGUGCUAUAAUCAAAAGUCCAAAGAUACUGCUAUUAGAUGAGGCUACAAGUGCCCUGGAUACUGAAUCUGAGAAAGUGGUUCAAAAUGCUUUAGACCGAGCAGUGGUGAACAGGACUACAGUUAUUGUAGCCCAUCGAUUAUCAACGAUCAAGAAUGCAGAUGUUAUUGCAGUGGUUAAAAAUGGAGUUAUUGUAGAGAAAGGAAAGCAUGAUUCUUUGAUCAAUGUCACAGAUGGUUUCUAUGCCUCUUUAGUGGCACUUCACACGAGUUGCCUCAACUGAAUGAGUCACUAGCUUUUUUUAUCUAUAUUGAUUUCUUAUAUUAUGACUCAACUUUUGGAGAUGGAUUUUGAAGAGAUUUUACAUUGUUUAGUUUCUUCAAUAGCAUACAAGAAGAGUUUUAAAUGCUUUGAUGAUUUAGAGGUUUUCAACAGAAUGGUGGAAUAGUUGGGUUUUUUGAAUUGCAGAGUGGCAUGGCUAACUUCCUUGAAUCAUAAAAGCAAGUAUAGAGUGGCAUGGCUAACUUCC
rnacentral:misc_RNA from 1 species